rnacentral:RNase_P_RNA from 1 species
UGACUUCUUUGUAUAAUCGCGCGGAAACGCGAGGAAAGUCCGGGCAUCGCAGAGCGGGAUAACUGCUAACGGCAGCCGGAGGCGACUCCAGGGCGAGUGCAACAGAAAUAAACCGCCCCGCGUUUUUCGGAAAACGCGGGGCAAGGGUGGAAAGGCGGGGUAAGAGCCCACCGGGGCGACGGAGACGUCGCCGCCGUGUAAACCCUAUCCGAUGCAACGCCGAUUUAACGUCGGGGAAACGCGUCUGCUCGGCGCGCCCGACAAAAGGCGGCAACCUCACUUUAAAGUGAAACGACCGUAUUGGCGACAAUACGGCAAGAUAAAUGAUUAUACGCGACAAAAUCCGGCUUACAGAAGGAGUCACGCC